UACGUAGGGUGCGAGCGUUAAUCGGAAUUACUGGGCGUAAAGCGUGCGCAGGCGGCUUUGCAAGACAGAUGUGAAAUCCCCGGGCUCAACCUGGGAAUUGCGCUUGUGACUGCAAGGCUGGAGUGCGGCAGAGGGGGAUGGAAUUCCGCGUGUAGCAGUGAAAUGCGUAGAUAUGCGGAGGAACACCGAUGGCGAAGGCAAUCCCCUGGGCCUGUACUGACGCUCAUGCACGAAAGCGUGGGGAGCAAACAGG
rnacentral:rRNA from 1 species